CUCCCUCCGCCGCGCGCGGCGUUGCCCCAACCAGACCCAGAGGGUCGCGCGCGGACUCGUGAAGGGUUUCAGGCCUGCCGGGUUCCGGGUCUCUCUCCUAGAUGCGGCUGCGCGUCCCCGAGAAUGGGGGCCCGCCGCCGGGCCGCUGUAGUCCUCCGGGGUGGCCGCCGGUCUCCCCCUCCGCGCUGCCGGCCCGCCGCCUCCCGGGCCCGAAGCCCCGUGGCCCUCGCCUCCGGCCCGCCAGCCCGCACCCCGCACCCGGUCCCUGCUGCGGGCUCCUGCGUCCUGGCCCUCGGGGAGGAGGCCGGCGGGGUCAGCGGAAGGAGCGGGAGAGCUUUGAAAGCCGCCUGCCGAGCUCCUACUCACCUGCGAGACCCCAGUCCAAUGCCCCCUCCUCCGGAAAGCUGCCUCCGCCCGCGCGGCGUCCCUUCCCGGGCACCCAUGCCCUCCCCGAGUGUGCGCGGGGCUGCUGCUUGCUCUGCGCGGUCUUCCAUCCCCAGAGCUGCAGACAUCUCGUGGACAGACCUACGCCCCCAUCAGCCCAGUUUUUCUCGCCCGUCCUCGGUGAGACGUGCUUCUGCUUCGUGGCCCGGUACACACGGACCGAGUUCACACAACCCCGGAAGCCUCAGGAAAGAGCACUUCUGAGCCACAGUCUGGUCCGUCCCCAGGUGCCGCCCAGGCUCGCAGGUAAGGAGCCUGGCCGGUAAGCACAGGCUGUGUCCUCAGGGUUGCCUUGGGGCAGGGCCAGGGGAAGCCUCUGACCCUGCUAUCUGUUUGCAGGUCCUCAUUUGGGGGCCCCGUGGGGAUCCUGAUCCUGCUCUCCACCCUCCUGAGUACCCCUGUCCCCAGGCUUCCCCUUGGGGCUGGGCGUCCGGCAGUGGCCGGGCGCCACCUGCCGGGCCGGUUUCCUGUUGCUGCAGACCGGCUCUGCGGGAGGGAAGGGUGGGAGCGAGGCUGAGUCCACCGGGGGCUUCCAGGCCUUAAAGCGGCUGCCUGGACCCGCCUAGCCCGGCGCCCCCAUGCCGUCUGGGGCUGCUUUCGAGCUUCCGUGGCAGAAUGGAGUGGGCUCCUGGGAGGACACCCAAAGGCCUACAAACCCGAGAACCUCUACCCUUUGUUCUCUGCGGUUCGUUGGGCCCUGCUCCCCACUUGAAACGGGGAGGAGGGGUGUCACCCUUGGGGUCAUGUUUAACUCACUUGUCCUCGGCAGGGGUCAGCGUGACAUCCAGCUUGUGGUAACACUGAUGUCUGCCGGAUGCCAGGCAGCGUGCCUGCCCCAGUUCUGAGGCCUGAUCAAGCCCCCAGCUCCCAGAGGGGCUCAGCCUCUGGGGUCCUCAGACCCACCCCCACAGUCUCGGGGCAGCAGCGCGUGGGCUGCAGUUCCUGCCCCCGGCUCCAGGCUGCCUCAGUGACCAGAUCUGAGGCCCAGGUGACCCUGUGGCGUCUCCAGACAGAGAUCACAAGUAGGCAGAGAGAGGAG